rnacentral:rRNA from 1 species
AUGAACGCUGGCGGCGUGCCUAAUACAUGCAAGUCGAGCGAACAGACGAGGAGCUUGCUCCUCUGACGUUAGCGGCGGACGGGUGAGUAACACGUGGAUAACCUACCUAUAAGACUGGGAUAACUUCGGGAAACCGGAGCUAAUACCGGAUAAUAUAUUGAACCGCAUGGUUCAAUAGUGAAAGACGGUUUUGCUGUCACUUAUAGAUGGAUCCGCGCCGCAUUAGCUAGUUGGUAAGGUAACGGCUUACCAAGGCAACGAUGCGUAGCCGACCUGAGAGGGUGAUCGGCCACACUGGAACUGAGACACGGUCCAGACUCCUACGGGAGGCAGCAGUAGGGAAUCUUCCGCAAUGGGCGAAAGCCUGACGGAGCAACGCCGCGUGAGUGAUGAAGGUCUUCGGAUCGUAAAACUCUGUAUUAGGGAAGAACAAAUGUGUAAGUAACUAUGCACGUCUUGACGGUACCUAAUCAGAAAGCCACGGCUAACUACGCG